AUGGCGACGUCAUGGCUCCUCAGACAUCCUUGUCCACUUGCCAGGCCAUGGACCAGAACAAGGAAUGAUAUAGGUCUCCAAGUGACCGGCAUCACCUACUGCUACUGGAGAUGCAGUAGGGCCAGUGCAGGAGGAAGAAUCAUGGCGGAUAUGAGUAUGAACACCACCAACUGCACGGCAGAACCCGCCCUUCUACCCCAAGCUGAUGCUGCCGACCCUCCUCCUAGAGUUAGUAAGAGAAGCCCGCGCACUGGCCGUGGCGCCGCCGUUGCGGCUAGGCACGAAGAGGAGGGCACAGACGACGAGUGGCUCAUGUACCUGGAGCCGGCGAAGCUAGAGGUGUUCGACCAUCUGGAGCCUUGGGCGGAGGCGAACGUGGUGCCGCUCCUUAAGCCUGCGGAGGUGGCGUGGCAGCCGACGGACUUGCUGCCGGACCUGGCGUCGCUGGGCGCCGACGGCUUCCAUGCGGCGUGCUUCGACAUCAGCGCGCGCGCGGCCGGCCUGCCCGACGCGCACCUCGUGUGCCUCGUGGGGAACAUGGUCACGGAGGAGGCACUGCCGACGUACCAGAGCAUACCCAACCGCUUUGAGGCCGUGCGCGACCUCACCGGCUCCAGCGGCACUGCCUGGGCGCGAUGGAUCCGCGGCUGGUCUGCCGAGGAGAACCGCCACGGCGACGUGCUCAACAAGUACCUCUUCCUUUCCGGCCGCGUCGACAUGCGGCAGGUCGAGAGAACCAUCCACAACCUCAUCCAGUCCGGCAUGGUCAUGAACGCUGCGCGGAGCCCCUACCACGGCUUCAUCUACGUCGCCUUCCAGGAGCGUGCCACCUCCAUCUCCCACGGCAACACAGCCCGUCGCGCCAAGGAGUACGGCGACGUGGCGCUCGCGCGCAUAUGCGGUGCCAUCGCGGCUGACGAGAAGCGGCACGAGCUGGCCUACACGCGGAUCGUGGGAAAGCUGUUCGAGAUCGACCCGGACGGCGCCGUGCGUGCGCUGGCGUACAUGAUGCGCCGCCGGAUCGUCAUGCCGGCGUCCCUCAUGACAGACGGCCGCGAUGGUGACCUCUUCGCGCACUACGCGGCUGUGGCGCAGCAGGCCGGUAUUUACACCGCCUCCGACUACCGUAGUAUUUUGGAGCACCUGAUAAAGCAGUGGGGUGUGGAAGAGCUGGCGGCGGCCGAACUCUCUGAUGACGGGAGGCGUGCGCGGGACUACGUGUGCGCGUUGCCCCAAAAGAUCCGCAGGUUGGAGGAGAAGGCUCACGAGCGCAGCGGCCAGAAAGCUCAGCCUGCAACAUCGGCCCCGUUUAGCUGGAUCUUUGAUAAGCCUGUCAACAACACCAUGGGGUAA
rnacentral:rRNA from 1 species